AUUUUGGCCCAUACCACCCUGAGAGGGCCUGCUCUCUUCUGAUAUUGGAAACUAAGCAGGCUUGGGCCUGGUUAGUAGUUUCUCAGUGUGGUGAUGUGUGCUUAUAAUGCCAGCACUCAGGAGGCUGAGGCA
rnacentral:rRNA from 1 species